UUUCUAAAAUUUGUAUUGAUGUUAAAUUGAUUUAUUUUCUUUUAUUUUAUUUUUUACAAAUAUUCUUACCUAGCCGCUAAAUCACAAUGUGCAAUGUUCAUGGAUUCCAGGUAUUUCAUACCAGAUGCAAUUUGGAUAAUAAAACUUAAACGGCUGCCAUAGCUGCGAAGAAUGGACAUGAAUUGAGAUACGAAGAAAUGACAUCUUAAUACAUCAUUAAGGAAGAUCCCCAAAUUGACCGUAUUCGAAUAUAGCUCCGAAUGGUUCUUCUUCUACUAAAGCUAUCAUCUUCGCUAUGUUCGAAUUUUGAAGCAUUGCCAAAACGUGCAUAUCUUUCGUGAAAUCCAAUCUAAAUAUACACAAAUAUUUUUAACAGAAAUGCAA